AUGUGCCAAGUUAAGAAUCUUCUUAGCCAGGAGGUUCAUAUUCAGUGGAUGAAGAAUGGGGUCCUCCAAAAUUCUGGAAUCACCACCAUGAGCUCCACUUACGAUGACGAGUGGUACCUCUUAACCAGUGAGCUGAGUGUCACCGAGGGAGAAUGGAAUGCAGAUAACAAUUAUACCUGUCUGGUGGACAGCCCCGAAUUCAGUGAAAUGAAAAACAUAAGCAAGUCCAUCACGUGUGGCUCUGAUUGUAUUAAUCCCAAUAUUGAGGUUGAUGUGAUCCCACCUACCUUCGCUGAAACUUACCUCACCAAGUCAGCCAAGCUGACCUGCCAGGUUAUCAAUAUGCCUUCUGCAGAAGGGCUCAAUGUGGUGUGGCUGAGAGAGAAUGGCCAAGCAUUGGAAACAACCCUUCAGCCACCUGUCCUGCAAAGCAACGGCCGGUACAGUGUGGAUGCCACAGCCAGCGUGUGUGUGGAUGAGUGGAACAAGGGAAAAAAUUACACCUGCAAAGUGACCCACCCAGGACUCGAGCUGCCCAUUGAAAAGACGCUUCGCGAAAGCCCUGUUACCAACAGCCAUGCUCCAUCCAUCUAUGUCUUCUCUCCUCCCCCUGAGCAACUGGCCCUUCAUGAAGCCGCCACAGUCACUUGCCUGGCGAAGGGCUUCAACCCACCUGAAUUCUUCAUCCAGUGGCUACAGAAUGGUGAGCCAAUGAAGGCCUCCAGUUACAUCACUGGCAGUCCCACUCUCGAGUCCCAGAAGCCAGAGCUGUACUUCGCCUACAGCACCCUGACCAUCAGCGAGCAGGAGUGGAAUGCCGGCAACACCUACUCGUGCCUUGUUGGACAUGAAAAGCUGCCUCUGCAGGUGGCUCAAAAGACCAUCGACAAGUCCACGGGUAAACCAACCCUGGUCAAUGUGUCUCUUGUUCUGUCUGAUACUGCCAACACCUGCUACUAA